rnacentral:rRNA from 1 species
GACGAACGCUGGCGGCGUGCUUAACACAUGCAAGUCGAACGAUGAUGCCAGCUUGCUGGUGGAUUAGUGGCGAACGGGUGAGUAACACGUGAGCAACCUGCCCCUGACUUCGGGAUAACCGCGGGAAACCGUGGCUAAUACCGGAUAUGACGCGCUAUCGCAUGGUGGUGUGUGGAAAGAUUUAUCGGUUGGGGGUGGGCUCGCGGCCUAUCAGCUUGUUGGUGGGGUGAUGGCCUACCAAGGCGACGACGGGUAGCCGGCCUGAGAGGGUGACCGGCCACACUGGGACUGAGACACGGCCCAGACUCCUACGGGAGGCAGCAGUGGGGAAUAUUGCACAAUGGGCGCAAGCCUGAUGCAGCGACGCCGCGUGAGGGAUGACGGCCUUCGGGUUGUAAACCUCUUUCAGUAGGGAAGAAGGCCUUCGGGUUGACGGUACCUGCAGAAGAAGCGCCGGCUAACUACGUG